GACGAACGCUGGCGGCGUGCCUAAUACAUGCAAGUCGAGCGGACGAUUCGAAAGCUUGCUUUUGAAUCGUUAGCGGCGGACGGGUGAGUAACACGUGGGCAACCUGCCCUGUAGACGGGGAUAACACCGAGAAAUCGGUGCUAAUACCGGAUAACACGAAAUGUCGCAUGACGUUUCGUUGAAAGGCGGCGCAAGCUGCCGCUACAGGAUGGGCCCGCGGCGCAUUAGCUAGUUGGUGAGGUAACGGCUCACCAAGGCGACGAUGCGUAGCCGACCUGAGAGGGUGAUCGGCCACACUGGGACUGAGACACGGCCCAGACUCCUACGGGAGGCAGCAGUAGGGAAUCUUCCGCAAUGGACGAAAGUCUGACGGAGCAACGCCGCGUGAGCGAAGAAGGCCUUCGGGUCGUAAAGCUCUGUUGUUAGUGAAGAACAAGUAACGUAGUAACUGACGUUACUAUGACGGUACCUAACGAGAAAGCCACGGCUAACUACGUG
rnacentral:rRNA from 1 species